rnacentral:rRNA from 3 species
CCGCCUGGGGAGUACGGCCGCAAGGUUAAAACUCAAAUGAAUUGACGGGGGCCCGCACAAGCGGUGGAGCAUGUGGUUUAAUUCGAUGCAACGCGAAGAACCUUACCUGGUCUUGACAUCCACAGAACUUUCCAGAGAUGGACUGGUGCCUUCGGGAACUGUGAGACAGGUGCUGCAUGGCUGUCGUCAGCUCGUGUUGUGAAAUGUUGGGUUAAGUCCCGCAACGAGCGCAACCCUUAUCCUUUGUUGCCAGCG